ensembl:misc_RNA 7SK 7SK RNA
AGAUGUGAGGGCCAUCUGGCUGCAAUAUCUGUCACCCCAGUGAUGGCCAGGAUUGGUUCAUUGGAUCUGGCUGGCUAGGCAGGUGUCCCCUUCCUCCCACUUCACUCUGUGUCUGUCCCUCCUGAAGCUACUUGGUUGAAGAGGAUGACCUUCCCCAACAGAGGAGGACUACUCUUUGGUCAAGGGUAUAUGAAUAGCUGCUGUUCAAAUUCCAUAUUCUUAAGUUAAUUAUCCUCAUUCCUGAUGCUGUUGCACUGCUGGGUUUCCAUAUGCAAUGGCCUAAG